AUGUGGCUAAUGAUCUUCAAAAUGGUGUUUCUGAAUCUGUUUUCCUGGCUGUCGUUCAAGGAAGUAUUUCUGCCCGUAAGUCUUCAUUCUAAAAGAUCUUUCACAUCAAUCUUGUUGUCAUAUCAUCAAUAUAUAAUAGCCGGUAAUUUUAUAUUGACAGAAACACCAUCCAGCACCACAGCUGCAGAAAGUACAGCAGUAUACCUGGUGGCUUCAACUACAACAAUCACUUCUACACUUCCAACAAGUACAACAGAGUCUUUCACUACAAGCCAAGAGAGCACAAGUUUUUCUCCAACUACUGUACCACCACCAUCAAGUACUUUGAUAUCUGAGCCUGUGUCUACAACAACUUCUCAAACAUAUGCUACUACUACAAUAACACCAACAGUAUCCAGUACUACAGCUCAAGGAAGUACUCAAGUAUCAGUAGGACAUCCAGCAACUACAACCGAACCUCUCACAACAAGCCUAGAGAGCAGAAGUGUUUUUCUAAUUGCAUCUAGUGGGUCAUCAUCUGAGUCUAAAACAACUGCAGCUUCUCAAACCAGCUCUGGAAUUGCAACAACAAUUUCACCAACAGCAUCUGAAACUACAGCUGAAGGAAGUACUACAGGAUCACUGGCACAUAGUACUUCUGUGAUUUCAUCUGCUCCUUCAGUGACUACAGCAAAACCUUCCAUAAGCCCAGAGAUCACAAGUGUUUCUUCCGGAAAUUUACCAUCAUCAAGUACUUCAACAUCUGAGCCUGUGACUACAACACAUUCUCAAACUGGCACAACUACUACAGUUUCUCCAACAAUUUCUUCAAUGGCAUCCAGUACAAUCGCUCAAGGAAGUACUACAGAAUCACUGGCACAUAGUUCUACAGUGAUUUCAUCUGCUCUUGUAGUGACUACAACAGAAGCUUUAACAAAAAGCCUAGAGAGUACAGGUGUUUCUGCAACCACUUCUAGGAGUUACACAUCUGAAUCUAAAGACACAACAGCUUCUCAAACAAGCUAUUUGAAUGGAAUUGCAACAACAACUUCUCCAACAGCUUCCAGUACUACAGCAGAAGGAAGUACUACACUAUCACUGGCACAUUCUACUGCAGUGACCACAUCUGCAUCUCCACCGACAACAACAUACCAUUCCACAACAAGCCCAGAGGUCACAAGUGUUUCUUCAGCUUUUGUACAAACAACAUCAAGUACUUCAACAUCUGAGCCUGUGACUACAACACAUUCUCAAACUGGUGCAACUACUACAAUUUCACCAACAAUUUCUCCAUCAGCAUCCAGUACUACAGCAGAAGGAAGUACUACACCAUCACUUGCACAUUCUACUGCAGUGACCACAUCUCCGUCUCAGGCACCAACAACAGAACCUAUUAUGACAGGCCGAGAGGGAACAAGUGGGGCUUUUUUACCAAUUUCGUCAACUACUUCAACAUUUGAGCCUGUGACUACAACACAUUCCUCAACAGGCCCUACAUCUGGAAUUGCAACAACCGUUUCUCCAACAGCAUUUAGUACAACAGCUGAAGAACAUAGAACAGUAACCCUGGUAGAUACAACUACCACAGCAAUCCCCUCAAUAUCUACAAGAGAGCCAUCCACAACAGGCCAAGAAGGCAAAAGUGUUUCUUCAGCUAUUGUACCAACAGUAUCAAGUACUUCGACAUCUGAGCCUGUGCCUACAACACCUUCUCAUACAGGUCCUACUAGUACAAUCCCACCAGUAGUUUCCGGUUCAACUACAAAAACAACCUCUGUCCUUCCAACAGCCACAAUCCUUUUAGGUCCUAAAACCACCACAUUUUCUGACACCACAACAACUGUCCCAUAUCUCCCAGCCACUUCAACUGAAGGCUACAUAGUUCUUACCUUCAGAAUUAAUCAAGCCUUUCAAAAUGACUAUUAUGAUUCAUCAACAUCAGCCUACCAGUUAUUAGAAAGCAAUAUCACAACUGAGCUGAAUAGAGGAUAUAAAAAAAGGUAUCCAUUGACUUUCCUUAGAACCUUCAUUAAACGUUUCUGGCCUGGAUCAGUGGGUGUGGAUGCUGACCUAAUUUUUCAAAAUCAGUCUGUAGUUCCAAAUAACACAAAUGUGGCUAAUGAUCUUCAAAAUGGUGUUUCUGAAUCUGUUUUCCUGGCUGUCAUUCAAGGAAGUAUUUCUGCCCAAACACCAUCCAGCACCACAGCUGCAGAAAGUACAGCAGUAUACCUGGUGGCUUCAACUACAACAAUCACUUCUACACUUCCAACAAGUACAACAGAGUCUUUCACUACAAGCCAAGAGAGCACAAGUUUUUCUCCAACUACUGUACCACCACCAUCAAGUACUUUGAUAUCUGAGCCUGUGUCUACAACAACUUCUCAAACAUAUGCUACUACUACAAUAACACCAACAGUAUCCAGUACUACAGCUCAAGGAAGUACUCAAGUAUCAGUAGGACAUCCAGCAACUACAACCGAACCUCUCACAACAAGCCUAGAGAGCAGAAGUGUUUUUCUAAUUGCAUCUAGUGGGUCAUCAUCUGAGUCUAAAACAACUGCAGCUUCUCAAACCAGCUCUGGAAUUGCAACAACAAUUUCACCAACAGCAUCUGAAACUACAGCUGAAGGAAGUACUACAGGAUCACUGGCACAUAGUACUUCUGUGAUUUCAUCUGCUCCUUCAGUGACUACAGCAAAACCUUCCAUAAGCCCAGAGAUCACAAGUGUUUCUUCUGGAAAUUUACCAUCAUCAAGUACUUCAACAUCUGAGCCUGUGACUACAACACAUUCUCAAACUGGCACAACUACUACAGUUUCUCCAACAAUUUCUUCAAUGGCAUCCAGUACAAUCGCUCAAGGAAGUACUACAGAAUCACUGGCACAUAGUUCUACAGUGAUUUCAUCUGCUCUUGCAGUGACUACAACAGAAGCUUUAACAAAAAGCCUAGAGAGUACAGGUGUUUCUGCAACCACUUCUAGGAGUUACACAUCUGAAUCUAAAGAUACAACAGCUUCUCAAACAAGCUAUUUGAAUGGAAUUGCAACAACAACUUCUCCAACAGCUUCCAGUACUACAGCAGAAGGAAGUACUACACUAUCACUGGCACAUUCUACUGCAGUGACCACAUCUGCAUCUCCACCGACAACAACAUACCAUUCCACAACAAGCCCAGAGGUCACAAGUGUUUCUUCAGCUUUUGUACAAACAACAUCAAGUACUUCAACAUCUGAGCCUGUGACUACAACACAUUCUCAAACUGGUGCAACUACUACAAUUUCACCAACAAUUUCUCCAUCAGCAUCCAGUACUACAGCAGAAGGAAGUACUACACCAUCACUUGCACAUAGUACUACAGUGAUUUCUUCUGCUCAUCUAGCGACUACAACAGAACCUCCCACAAGCCCAGAGAUCACAAGUGCUUCUUCAGCUAUUGUACAAACAUCAUCAAGUUCUUCAACAUCUGAGCCUGUGACCACAACACAUUCUCAAACAGGCUCAACUACUACAGUUUUACCAACAAUUUCUCCAUCAGCAUCAAGUACUACAGCAGAAGGAAGUACUACACCAUCACUGGCACAUUCUACUGCAGUGACCACAUCUCCGUCUCAGGCACCAACAACAGAACCUAUUAUGACAGGCCGAGAGGGAACAAGUGGUGCUUUUUUACCAAUUUCAUCAACUACUUCAACAUUUGAGCCUGUGACUACAACACAUUCCUCAACAGGCCCUACAUCUGGAAUUGCAACAACCGUUUCUCCAACAGCAUUUAGUACAACAGCUGAAGAACAUAGAAUAGUAACCCUGGUAGAUACAACUACCACAGCAAUCCCCUCAAUAUCUACAAGAGAGCCAUCCACAACAGGCCAAGAAGGCAAAAGUGUUUCUUCAGCUAUUGUACCAACAGUAUCAAGUACUUCGACAUCUGAGCCUGUGCCUACAACACCUUCUCAUACAGGUCCUACUAGUACAACCCCACCAGUAGUUUCCGGUUCAACUACAAAAACAACCUCUGUCCUUCCAACAGCCACAAUCCUUUUAGGUCCUAAAACCACCACAUUUUCUGACACCACAACAACUGUCCCAUAUCUCCCAGCCACUUCAACUGAAGGCUACACAAUUCUUACCUUCAGAAUUAAUCAAGCCUUUCAAAAUGACUAUUAUGAUUCAUCAACAUCAGCCUACCAGUUAUUAGAAAGCAAUAUCACAACUGAGCUGAAUAGAGGAUAUAAAAAAAGGUAUCCAUUGACUUUCCUUAGAACCUUCAUUAAACGUUUCUGGCCUGGAUCAGUGGGUGUGGAUGCUGACCUAAUUUUUCAAAAUCAGUCUGUAGUUCCAAAUAACACAAAUGUGGCUAAUGAUCUUCAAAAUAGUAUUUCUGAAACUGUUUUCCUGGCUGUCGUUCAAGGAAGUAUUUCUGCUCAAACACCAUCCAACACCACAGCUGCAGAAAGUACAGCAGUAUACCUGGUGGCUUCAACUACAACAAUCACUUCUACACUUCCAACAAGUACAACAGAGUCUUUCACUACAAGCCAAGAGAGCACAAGUUUUUCUCCAACUACUGUACCACCACCAUCAAGUACUUUGAUAUCUGAGCCUGUGUCUACAACAACUUCUCAAACAUAUGCUACUACUACAAUAACACCAACAGUAUCCAGUACUGCUGCUGUUAUUGAGUCUAAAACAACUGCAGCUUCUCAAACCAGCUCUGGAAUUGCAACAACAAUUUCACCAACAGCAUCUGAAACUACAGCUAAAGGAAGUACUACAGUAUCACUGGCACAUAGUACUACUGUGAUUUCAUCUGCUCCUUCAGUGACUACAGCAGAACCUUCCACAAGCCCAGAAAUCACAAGUGUUUCUUCAGCAAUUGCACUAUCAUCAAGUACUUCAACAUCUGAGCAUGUGACUACAACAUAUUCUCAAACAGGUUCAACUACUACAAUUUCAUCAACUAUUUCUCCAUCAUCAUCCAGUACUACAGCAGAAGAAAGUACUACACCAUCACUUGCACAUAGUACUACAGUGAUUUCUUCUGCUCCUCCAGCAACUACAACAGAGUCUCCUACAAGCCCAGAGAUCACAAGUGCUUCUUCAGCUAUUGUACUAACAUCAUCAAGUUCUUCAACAUCUGAGCCUGUGACUACAACACAUUCUCAAACUGGUUCAACUGCUACAAUUUCAUCAACAAUUUCUCCAUCAGCAUCCAUUACUACAACAGAAGGAAGUACUACACCAUCACUGGCACAUAGUACUACAGUGAUUUCUUCUGCUCUUCCAGCAACUACAACAGAACCUCCUACAAGCCCAGAGAUCACAAGUGCUUCUUCAGCUAUUGUACAAACAUCAUCAAGUUCUUCAACAUCUGAGCCUGUUACUACAACACAUUCUCAAACAGGUUCAACUACUACAGUUUUACCAACAAUUUCUCCAUCAGCAUCCAGUACUACAGCAGAAGGAAGUACUACACCAUCACUGGCACAUAGUACUACAGUGAUUUCUUCUGCUCUUCCAGCAACUACAACAGAACCUCCUACAAGCCCAGAGAUCACAAGUGCUUCUUCAGCUAUUGUACAAACAUCAUCAAGUUCUUCAACAUCUGAGCCUGUGACCACAACACAUUCUCAAACAGGUUCAACUACUACAACAUUACCAACAAUUUCUCCAUCAGCAUCCAGUACUACAGCAGAAGGAAGUACUACAGUAUCACUAGCACAUAGUACUACAGUGAUUUCUUCUGUUCCUCCAGCAACUACAACAGAAUCUCCGACAAGCCCAGAGAUCACAAGUGCUUCUUCAGCUAUUGUACAAACAUCAUCAAGUUCUUCAACAUCUGAGCCUGUGACCACAACACAUUCUCAAACAGGUUCAACUACUACAAUUUUACCAACAAUUUCUCCAUCAGCAUCCAGCACUACAGCAGAAGGAAGUACUACAUUAUCACUGGCACAUAGUACUACAGUGAUUUCUUCUGCUCCUCCAGCAACUACAACAGAAUCUCCUACAAGCCCAGAGAUCACAAGUUCUUCUUCAGCUAUUGUACAAACAUCAUCAAGUUCUUCAACAUCUGAGCCUGUUACUACAACACAUUCUCAAACAGGUUCAACUACUACAAUUUUACCAACAAUUUCUCCAUCAGCAUCCAGUACUACAGCUAUAGGAAGUACUACACCAUCACAGGCACAUAGUACUACAGUGAUUUCUUCUGCUCUUCCAGCAACUACAACAGAACCUCCUACAAGCCCAGAGAUCACAAGUGCUUCUUCAGCUAUUGUACAAACAUCAUCAAGUUCUUCAACAUCUGAGCCUGUUACUACAACACAUUCUCAAACAGGUUCAACUACUACAGUUUUACCAACAAUUUCUCCAUCAGCAUCCAGUACUACAGCAGAAGGAAGUACUACACCAUCACUGGCACAUAGUACUACAGUGAUUUCUUCUGCUCUUCCAGCAACUACAACAGAACCUCCUACAAGCCCAGAGAUCACAAGUGCUUCUUCAGCUAUUGUACAAACAUCAUCAAGUUCUUCAACAUCUGAGCCUGUGACCACAACACAUUCUCAAACAGGUUCAACUACUACAACAUUACCAACAAUUUCUCCAUCAGCAUCCAGUACUACAGCAGAAGGAAGUACUACAGUAUCACUAGCACAUAGUACUACAGUGAUUUCUUCUGUUCCUCCAGCAACUACAACAGAAUCUCCGACAAGCCCAGAGAUCACAAGUGCUUCUUCAGCUAUUGUACAAACAUCAUCAAGUUCUUCAACAUCUGAGCCUGUGACCACAACACAUUCUCAAACAGCGACUACAACAGAACCUUCCACAAGCCCAGAGAUCACAAGUGCUUCUUCAACUAUUGUACUAACAUCAUCAAGUACUUCAACAUCCAAGCCUGCGACUACGACACAUUCUCAAACAGCGACUACAACAGUACCUUCCACAAGCUCUGAGAUCACAAGUGCUUCUUCAACUAUUGUACUAACAUCAUCAAGUACUUCAACAUCCAAGCCUGCGACUACAACACCUUCCAAAACAAGUCCUAUUAUUGGAAUUAAAACUACAGUAUCUCCAGCAGCCUCCAGUUUUACAGCUAAAGGGAGUAGCACAGCAAGUUCUCAAACCACUACAGUGUCUGUCAGUGUCCCAGAUAAACCAGCCACAUCAGUUGAAGGCUACCUAAUUCUAACCUUAAAAAUGGUUAGAGCCUUUCAAAAUGACUACUAUGAUUCAUCAACAUCAGCCUACCAGAUCCUGGAAAGGAAUGUCACAACUGAGCUAAAUAAAGGUUAUAAAAAACUAUAUCCUUUAACAUUUGUCAGAACUUACAUACUACGAUUUUGGCCUGGAUCAGUCGGUGUGGAUGCUCAACUAAUUUUUCAAAACCAGUCAGUGGUUCCCAACACCACAACUGUAACAAAUGAUCUUAAAACCGAACUGUCAAAAGUUGUUUUCCUGGAUGUCAUUCCAGAAAGCAUUUCUGCACAUAAUGCAACAACAGCAGCAGCAACAACGUUUGCAACAACUUCAAGCAGUGCUACAAGUAGUCCUACAGCAAGCAGUACUACAGCAAGCAGUACUACAGCAAGUAGUGCAAUUGCAAGCAGCAGACAAUGCUUUUUGCUUACUUUCCUUCUUCCAAUCUUACUGAUCUUGGAUCAGUUUGUUAAACUACUUUGAAUCUAUGAAUAAGACAUCUUACAUUAUAUUACACAUAUUUCUGUUGCUGAUAAUAACAGCAGAUGACUGCCCAAUUACAAAAUGAUAAAAAAAAGAUGUCAUUAUGCUGUGUGGGUUUAUGAAGUCUGAUUAUGAUUUUUACAGUAUUAAAUUAUGUUACCUAUUUAAAUUACUCUAGUUAUUUAAAAACAAUUAACUGAAAAAUAUUUAUUUGAACACUUUGUGUAUAAUUUAUUUUGUCAUGCAACUGUUUUAAUUCAAAUAAAAUAAAUCUGCAUUACUUGUUAUAACUAAAU
ensembl:lncRNA mucin-2-like